AGAGGGGUGCAAGCGUUAAUCGGAUUGACUGGGCGUAAAGGGCGCGUAGGUGGGAUAGUUUUAAGUUAACUGUGAAAGACCCCGGGGCUUAACCUGGGAACGACGGUUGAUACUGGAUGUCUAGAGUCUGGUAGAGGGAAGUGGAAUUUCCGGUGUAGCGGUGAAAUGCGUAGAGAUCGGAAAGAACAUCAGUGGCGAAGGCGGCUUCCUGGACUAAGACUGACACUGAGGCGCGAAGGCGUGGGGAGCAAACAGGAUUAGAUACCCUGGUAGUCCACGCAGUAAAUGGUGAGUACUGGAUGUUGGUUUCUCUUCGGAGCAAUUAGUAUCGUAGCUAACGCGUUAAGUACUCCGCCUGGGGAUUACGGUCGCAAAGAUUAA
rnacentral:rRNA from 1 species